AAAAAUAGGUUUGGGUACCUAUUUGGUUUGUCACCAAAAUAUCCCUUACGCUGGGACUGUGGAGCCCUUUUCAGCUAGAAGAGUGAAGCCUCAGCCUUCAUCAGUCACUGUGUAUUUGCCUUAAUCAGUUCAUUUAUUUUUUCUUUAGGGUUAAAUUUUGUUUAUUUCGUUGACCAGACAUCCAGUUUGAACUGCAGUAGACUGACUUGACUUUUGCUUUUCAGUUUUACAAGUCCUCGUUUUUUUCCCCUAACUCCAUUUUUGUUGGUUUGUUAAAAAGGUUUGUCCAGAGGGGUUGCGUUUAUCCGGUUUGACAAACGGUCAGAAGCAGAAGAGGCAAUUACCAGUUUCAAUGGUCAUAAACCCCCAGGUUCCUCCGAGCCCAUCACAGUGAAGUUCGCAGCCAACCCCAACCAGAACAAAAACGUGGCGCUCCUUUCGCAGCUGUACCACUCGCCUGCGCGGCGCUUCGGAGGCCCCGUGCACCACCAGGCGCAGAGGUUCAGGUUCUCCCCCAUGGGUGUAGAUCACAUGAGUGGGCUUUCUGGUGUCAAUGUCCCAGGAAACGCGUCUUCAGGCUGGUGCAUCUUCAUCUACAACCUCGGGCAAGAUGCUGACGAGGGAUCCUCUGGCAGAUGUUUGGCCCCUUUGGCGCUGUCACCAAUGUGAAAGUGAUUCGUGAUUUCAACACCAACAAGUGCAAAGGGUUUGGUUUUGUGACCAUGACAAACUAUGAAGAAGCCGCAAUGGCCAUAGCAAGUCUGAAUGGCUACCGCCUGGGGGACAAAAUCUUACAGGUUUCCUUCAAAACCAACAAGUCCCACAAAUAACUCGCUCAUGCUUUUUUUGUACGGAAUAGAUAAUUAAGAGUGAAGAAGUUGAAACUUUUUUGUUAGUGUACAACUCAUUUUGCGCCAAUUUUCACAAGUGUUUGUCUUAGUCUAAAUGAGAAGUGAAAAGGUUUUUAUACUCUGGGAUGCAACCGACAUGUUCAAAUGUUUGAAAUCCCACAAUGUUAGACCAAUUUUAAGUUUCUUAAGUUAUUUCCUUUAAAAUAUAUAUUAAACAGAAACCUAAGUAGACUGCAUUUGACUAACCAGUCCCUCUGGAUGGUGGUGAGACUGAAGCAUGCUUUACUGCUAAGACUGUCUAACACUCAUUCAUUUGAUGUCUCCACAAACUGGAUAAAAAAGUGAUCUUUCAGUUUCAGUUUUUAAUCUAAAGAUGUUAGACAGAUGCCGAGUGUGCGUUUUCUCAACUGCUUCAACAUCUUAAGUGACGUAUGCUUUGGUUGACAGGAAAUUGCUUUCCGAGCAGGUCCCACUGCCACCUCCUUGCUCACUCAGUCCCGGGCUCUGCCAUGUGGUUCUGGGCGGGCAGUGGCCCCUGUCCGGCGUGGGCCACCACCAGGGAGGAGGCUGCAUGCCGGGCUGGGCUGGGCCCCUCCAGAGAAGGACACAGAGGUGUUCUGUCGCCUGGGCACCCAUGGGAACGGACCAAAGAGUUUCAGGAAAAACUCCAGUGUAUUCCAGUCGGCCCUGAGCUCCAGGCGCUCCUGAAGACGUGUCGCUGCUCUGCCAUCCCGAAUUUCUGUCCACACUUUGCAUGCAUGGUGCCCCAUACAUCGGAUCCUGUUGUUCACAAUGAUUUCCGCUUCCAAGAGCAUUUAACGCAGCUUGAAUGCAUAAGAUAGCUCUAUUUUUUAAUAACACAUAAACAUUUGAGCAUUGUAUUUCUCGUGAUCCCUCCUCUGUGAGCUAGCCUUUUUUCUAUCUUAGUCGGAUUUUGUUUUGGAAUAUUGCUUUCAUAUGGACACUCAGCAGAAAAGUACUUACUUCUUGCCAGUUAUCUAUUAACAAAAAACCUUUGAUUUGUAGUUUUAAAGAUUAACCCUCAAAAGUUCUCUUCAUAACUGCCUUGACAUUUUGGGUUGUUCUGUUCUGUUAAUUUUCUUUUGCUUUUUUGUGUUUUUUGUUUGUUUUUACUUUUGCAUUUAAGACCAUUAAAUUUGAUUUUGUUUUGCUCGAGUUUUGUUUUGUUUUUUGUUUUACCUUUUCUUUCUUUUUGGCUAGGGAAGGCACAGACAGCCCAGCAUUCAGGGAGGGGUCAUAAGAUCUUAAGAAACAAGCACUUGCCUCAAAGAAAAAGCAUUUGGAAACCAUGGCAUAGGGAUGGGCAGCCACGGAAAGGUGAUUCUUACCCAGGAAGCCGGUAGGAAGGGAGAGGUAGGGCCCACCCCGAAUAGCAACUCGGGACCUCAUCAGGUUUUAGAAGUAGCUGGAAAAGAGGAUAGCUCAGUCCUGGCAGCUUUUAGCCUUGACAUGAGGUGUCAAACGUGAUGACAGGUCGUUUGUUAGUUCUUAAUGUUAUAGUGUGACAGCGUUAUUUAUCUGUUUAUCUAGGUAUUUAUUUAUUUAUUUAUGUAUUUAUUUAUUUAAGUGGAAAACUGGGUAACAGGCACAACCAUCUCCAGAGCAGGUCCACGUCUCCAGAAGCCCUUGGACAGCUUGAGGCUACCUGUCCCUUGCCCCCUUCACCCCUCAGAGGGGCCGUUUACAUUGUCCUCAUGUAUCACAGAGGCUGCUGUGAGCGCUGGGCCUUAUCUCCUCAGAGUGGGCCGCAGGCCGUUGGACCUCUUCUUUCCCCAGAAAUCCCAGCCUACCUGUCCACAUUCCACACAAAGAGCGGCUCUGCUCUGUCUCCCCAGAGCACCCCUUCCCUGGGGAGCUGAAUGCUUUCCUGGAAGAAUAGCCCUUUUGGGUCCUUUGAGCUGGCAUCAGUUGUGAGUACAGGACUCCAGACCCUGAAACCCUCUCCUGUGGUCCCCCUAACUCCUGCGUAUCCCUGCCAGCUUCAGCCAGCGUCCCACCCUGGCAGAGGUGGCCGUCUCAGGAGUGAACCGUGAAGGGCUCAGUGGGCUCGCAGCCAGCACCUCUGCCUCUGAGGGCCGCCUGACCUUGGGUGGUCAGAGGGGAGCCCUUGUAGCUUCUCAGUUCAGGGAAAGCCUGGUUUCAGGUGGCUUCCACUGUGAACACUUCCAAGCCAGAGUGCCCAGCCAUUGCUCCAGGAACUGAAACGCGCCAGGGUGUGGAAGUGUUUCACUCUUUGAAACAGUGCUUCUGAGAGGCAGUUUGCCAUUGAGGCACUAGAUGGCUGGCCCAGGGCUGAGUUUCCUUGAGUCUUCUGGACCCCUCUGCAAAGAGAAGAGCCACCUUUUUAAAAGUUACAAACCAGGGGCUAGGGGCUGCUUAGUGCCAGAGCGCGUGCCAGAGCGCUUGCCAGCCUGCUCAGAGCCCUGGAUUUCAUCCCCAGCACUGCAAAGAAAAAGUCACGACCCAAAAAAAACCAUUUAAAAACUUUACAUAGAUCCAUUGUGUUUAUAUUAAGUGAAAUGAUUGGCUUUUAUUUGGGAAGUUUGGUGAAAAAGAAUGAAGAGUAGAUAAUGUUAGUUUGUCGACAUUUGGUUCAGUAAAUCCCACAGAGGCUGUGGUUGAACUCUUGUGACCUCUGUAACCUCCCUGGUCCUUACCAUGCCCUCAGCAGCUCCAGACUGCUGAAGCAGACUCCAGUCGAAUUGUCUGUUUUCCCCAUGGGGUUCUGGCCUGAUCAUGCUUUUCAGUGUACCGUGCCAAGCAGUGGCCUCUGCUGGCUGUACCUCUAGUCCCCACGCACGGCCACCCCCUUGUACAGCUCUCCAAGGGCCAGCACGGGUGGCACGGGUGACGGCUUCCUCCCCGAGCCAGGUGGGUCUGUCCCUCGCCAGCACAGCUGCCUUAACUGGAGAGUCUGCACUGGGCGGGCGUCCAGGAACUGAAUGGUGCUGCCGUAGAGACCUGAGUUGACAGUCCAGGGGUCUCUGCGGGGCCCCAGAAGCAGAUGAACCCCCAAGGCAGUUCGUAGCAAUGAAUUGCCUACCCCUGGUUUGCCUCUAGACAAGAGCCUCUUGUCUAAGUUGUUGAAAAGACGCAGCACCCCAGUCCAGCAUUGGCCUUGAAAAUCGAAGUUGACAUCUCUCAGCUGUCCAUCUCCCUGCAGCUCGGCCUGGUUGCAUUUCUGCAUGCUCUGGGCAGCCAGCCUCCCUGCUUUGGACAAGAGAGUGAGAGGCCAGUGCGGCCUCCACCCCCUGGGGCCGGUCCUUCCUCUCUUCCCAUCUUCCCAUGACCUGUCUCACCUCCUGGGACUCCCAGGGCUCAUCUUUUCUGGGGGUCCCUGUCCGCCCAACCUUCCCGAGACAGCUCUGGGGUCGCAGUGCUUUCUGUCGAGUGGUGUGGAUAAUUGACACGUUCUCACCAGAGCAGUAGAACCUGAAUCUCACCCCGAACGGGGUUUGCCCUGACCUCUAAUGAUUGUAUUACAUUCCUGCAAUCUUUCAGUGAUACAGUUUUUUGUUGUGUUGUUGGUCAUUAAAAAACAAAAGUUGUUACGUCACCAACCACAAGUACCUAAGUUAGCCUGGCGGGGUCUUGGCAGGGCUGUGUGUCCCUUCCCUGAGGAGAAGGCUGGCCCGUCCCGCUGGCUGGGGCCGCCCUCUCCCCUUGUGACUCCGGUGACAGUGGCUUGCUUGGGGGAGGGGCGGGCUUUCUCCACUGAUUCCUGCGUUGUACAGUAGAUGGCUAGACAUUUUGUAUAUUAGUGUGUUUUAAGUUACUGAUUUGUUUUAUAUGAAAUAAUUUAUUUUCAGGUACCAUUUUUCAUUUUAACUUUGUUUUUACAUGGGUUUGUUUUCAAUAAAGUCUGACAUUGCUGUCCAAAAGUCAACAAUAAAAUGAAUCCCAUUGUGUUCUUUUGAGGAUUAUUAUGUAACUAGCUUUUUUUAAAAAUUAUUUUCAGAAAAAGAAAGAAAAAAGACCCUAAAUUUUCCAUCUCCCCAUUGCCUCUUUUAUUUUUUCCUUUAAAUCCUUGUGAAUAAAUGUUCUGUAGUGUUUUAGGAGGAAAAAGCAAACCUAGAUUUUGAUAAUCCAGAAGAUUUCAGAUUAAUAAAGAAGCUUUGAAAGAAGACCAUUUUUCAAAAUUUUAGUGAAGUGUGAAUAUUUUUUGUCAACAGCUUUCUCAAAGAGAAUGAAACUUUUGCACCAUUUUCAGAGUUUUUAUAGAGAUGCCAAAUUGAUAUAUUUACAUGUAAUGGAAACAUGAAAAAGUUUUAUUAAACAAUUGUUCAUAGCUGUGUAGACAUUUUAAUUCAGUUUCCAAAGCUCUCCAAAGCGUAUUUUUGAAGUACGGAGUGAUGCGGUUUGGGGCGUUACUGAUGAUUCCCUAACACUCAAUUGUCCGACACUCAGUUCCUUCCGCAGGUAUCAGGUUUGUUGUGCUCAACACUGUAUGUUACCGAUGACUGGAAUUCUGUGAUAUUUUGGUAAUAAA
ensembl:lncRNA